rnacentral:rRNA from 1 species
GACGAACGCUGGCGGCGUGCUUAACACAUGCAAGUCGAACGGAAAGGCCCUGCUUUUGUGGGGUGCUCGAGUGGCGAACGGGUGAGUAACACGUGAGUAACCUGCCCUUGACUUUGGGAUAACUUCAGGAAACUGGGGCUAAUACCGGAUAGGAGCUCCUGCUGCACGGGGGGGGUUGGAAAGUUUCGGCGGUUGGGGAUGGACUCGCGGCUUAUCAGCUUGUUGGGGGGGUAGUGGCUUACCAAGGCUUUGACGGGUAGCCGGCCUGAGAGGGUGACCGGCGACAUUGGGCCUGAGGUACGGCCCAGACUCCUACGGUGGGCAGCAGUGGGAAAUAUUGCACAAUGGGCGGAAGCCUAAUGCAGCAACGCCGCGGGCGGGAUGACGGCCUUCGGGUUGUAAACCGCUUUCGCCUGUGACGAAGCGUGAGUGACGGUAAUGGGUAAAGAAGCACCGGCUAACUACGUG